rnacentral:rRNA from 1 species
GACGAACGCUGGCGGCGUGCUUAACACAUGCAAGUCGAACGGAAAGGCCCUGCUUUUGUGGGGUGCUCGAGUGGCGAACGGGUGAGUAACACGUGAGUAACCUGCCCUUGACUUUGGGAUAACUUCAGGAAACUGGGGCUAAUACCGGAUAGGAGCUCCUGCUGCAUGGUGGGGGUUGGAAAGUUUCGGCGGUUGGGGAUGGACUCGCGGCUUAUCAGCUUGUUGGUGGGGUAGUGGCUUACCAAGGCUUUGACGGGUAGCCGGCCUGAGAGGGUGACCGGCCAAAUUGGGACUGAGAUACGGCCCAGACUCCUACGGGAGGCAGCAGUGGGGAAUAUUGCACAAUGGGCGGAAGCCUGAUGCAGCAACGCCGCGUGCGGGAUGACGGCCUUCGGGUUGUAAACCGCUUUCGCCUGUGACGAAGCGUGAGUGACGGUAAUGGGUAAAGAAGCACCGGCUAACUACGU